rnacentral:tRNA from 1 species
UUAAGAUUAUUUUAAGUUAGAAUUUUUAAUUGUUGAUUAAAAGGUUAAUCUUAAA